GAUGAGUAAGAUAUGGAGGAGAGAAGUUUCGGGUUUUUCAAGCUUUUUCGUCAGAUCUAGGACGAUCCGACCGUUGGAUCGACGAUCCGAGACCACAUAUAGACUGAGGAAGAGGGGGGGAACAUGAUGGUGUGAUCAGAUCUAGCAAAUGUCGCCGGCGACCGGGGCCGGCCACCGUGCGUGGUGGUUCUGGUGGGUUUUGGAGAUGAUUCAACUUCCAGAUGCUUCCUCAUAAAUUUUUGGAAUUUUUGAGACACAGAUAAACUUCGGGUGAUCGAGGUCAGCUAUUUUUCUGCAUCCAGCAGCCACAAUAGUCAUAGGUGUACUGUGAGUAAAAUGUUAAUUUUAAUUGUAAUUUCGAUAUUAUUAUAUGUUUAAGCAUGCCCAUGCAUCACUUAUAUAUAUGUAUCUAUAUAGUUAAACUCUAGGCACGUUUUAUGUUGCAUUCAUAACUGUUAAAGUGCCAUGGAUGUUGUUGUAGUAAUUUGGAGCAGUGUGCGUGCGUUGGCGUGCGUGUGAUGUGGUGUUGACUAUGGAUAGGACGGGUAGACACGGCUUGAGAUCUUCGCUAGGACCCGGUCCUUCGGGGUAGACACGGCUUGAGUUCUUCGCUGGGAUCCCGAUUUGGUUUAUUAAGCGAAAGUCUGGCUUGAGUUCUUCGCUGGCAUAGGUUGGAUUUAAGAGAGCUGUAUAGGGGAUCAACUCUCAUAUAUUAUGAUUGAUAUUACUGGGUGUAUGAGUGCUCCAGAUUACCUUUUUGCUGUUAUGAUGUGAAAAUAUUACUGAUGUUGCAUUUUAUUCUACAGGGUGCAUUAACUUUAGAUAGUUAUAGAGAUUAUGAUUAAAAUUGAUAUUUUACUCUCUAAGUCGAACGCUCACUCCUGUUCAUCAUAUUUUUCGAGGCUACAGGAGGAGAUAUUUUUCAGAAUAACCUGUCCCUUUCCUCUCAGGUUAUGAAAAGAUUACUUAAUUGUAUUAUUAUUCUCUAAAUUUGUAAUUUAGGACUCCGCAUGUACUAGUAGUAUUAUUAAUCCUGUCAGGGACUGCGUGAAUUUAAGUUUUUGUAUUAAUAAAUGAAAAUUUUUUUAUGAGUUUUAAA